rnacentral:rRNA from 1 species
AGAGUUUGAUCCUGGCUCAGGAUGAACGCUGGCGGCGUGCUUAACACAUGCAAGUCGAACGAUGAUCCGGUGCUUGCACCGGGGAUUAGUGGCGAACGGGUGAGUAACACGUGAGUAACCUGCCCUUAACUCUGGGAUAAGCCUGGGAAACUGGGUCUAAUACCGGAUAUGACUCCUCAUCGCAUGGUGGGGGGUGGAAAGCUUUUUGUGGUUUUGGAUGGACUCGCGGCCUAUCAGCUUGUUGGUGAGGUAAUGGCUCACCAAGGCGACGACGGGUAGCCGGCCUGAGAGGGUGACCGGCCACACUGGGACUGAGACACGGCCCAGACUCCUACGGGAGGCAGCAGUGGGGAAUAUUGCACAAUGGGCGAAAGCCUGAUGCAGCGACGCCGCGUGAGGGAUGACGGCCUUCGGGUUGUAAACCUCUUUCAGUAGGGAAGAAGCGAAAGUGACGGUACCUGCAGAAGAAGCGCCGGCUAACUACGUGCCAGCAGCCGCGGUAAUACGUAGGGCGCAAGCGUUAUCCGGAAUUAUUGGGCGUAAAGAGCUCGUAGGCGGUUUGUCGCGUCUGCCGUGAAAGUCCGGGGCUCAACUCCGGAUCUGCGGUGGGUACGGGCAGACUAGAGUGAUGUAGGGGAGACUGGAAUUCCUGGUGUAGCGGUGAAAUGCGCAGAUAUCAGGAGGAACACCGAUGGCGAAGGCAGGUCUCUGGGCAUUAACUGACGCUGAGGAGCGAAAGCAUGGGGAGCGAACAGGAUUAGAUACCCUGGUAGUCCAUGCCGUAAACGUUGGGCACUAGG